UACGAAGGGGGCUAGCGUUGCUCGGAAUCACUGGGCGUAAAGCGCACGUAGGCGGACUCUUAAGUCGGUGGUGAAAUCCUGGAGCUCAACUCCAGAACUGCCUUCGAUACUGAGAGUCUCGAGUCCGAGAGAGGUGAGUGGAACUGCGAGUGUAGAGGUGAAAUUCGUAGAUAUUCGCAAGAACACCAGUGGCGAAGGCGGCUCACUGGUCCGGUACUGACGCUGAGGUGCGAAAGCGUGGGGAGCAAACAGGG
rnacentral:rRNA from 1 species